rnacentral:rRNA from 1 species
AUGAACGCUAGCGGUCAGGCUUAANACAUGCAAGUCGAGGGGUAGAAGGAGCUUGCUCCUUUGAGACCGGCGCACGGGUGCGUAACGCGUAUGCAAUCUACCUUUUGCAGAGGGAUAGCCCAGAGAAAUUUGGAUUAAUACCUCAUAGUAUGUGAGGAUGGCAUCAUUUUCACAUUAAAGUCACAACGGCAAAAGAUGAGCAUGCGUCCCAUUAGCUAGUUGGUAAGGUAACGGCUUACCAAGGCUACGAUGGGUAGGGGGUCCUGAGAGGGAGAUCCCCCACACUGGUACUGAGACACGGACCAGACUCCUACGGGAGGCAGCAGUGAGGAAUAUUGGACAAUGGGCGCAAGCCUGAUCCAGCCAUGCCGCGUGCAGGAUGACGGUCCUAUGGAUUGUAAACUGCUUUUAUACAGGAAGAAACACUCCGACGUGUCGGAGCUUGACGGUACUGUAAGAAUAAGGAUCGGCUAACUCCGUG